rnacentral:rRNA from 1 species
UACGAAGGGGGCUAGCGUUGCUCGGAAUUACUGGGCGUAAAGCGCACGUAGGCGGAUUGUUAAGUCGGGGGUGAAAUCCUGGAGCUCAACUCCAGAACUGCCUUCGAUACUGGCGAUCUCGAGUUCGGGAGAGGUGAGUGGAACUGCGAGUGUAGAGGUGAAAUUCGUAGAUAUCGGGAGGAACACCGGUGGCGAAGGCGGCGACCUGGGUAGAUACUGACGCUGAGGUGCGAAAGCGUGGGGAGCAAACAGG